rnacentral:rRNA from 1 species
UACGAGGGGGGCGAGCGUUGUUCGGAAUUAUUGGGCGUAAAGCGCGCGCAGGCGGUCCUUUAAGUCUGAUGUGAAAGCCCACGGCUCAACCGUGGAGGGUCAUUGGAAACUGGGGGACUUGAGUGCAGGAGAGAAGAGUGGAAUUCCACGUGUAGCGGUGAAAUGCGUAGAGAUGUGGAGGAACACCAGUGGCGAAGGCGACUACCUGGCCUGUUCUUGACGCUGAGGCGCGAAAGCUAGGGGAGCAAACGGG